rnacentral:tRNA from 1 species
GGUUGUGGCUCAGUGGUAGAGCAUUUGUCUAGCACAUGUGAGGUGCUGGGUUCUAUUCUCAGCACCA